ACGUGGGAUGCUCCUGUUUCCACCUAUGGGUACCUCAGCACUUCUGCUGCUGGCACCACAAAUGUAAUCCAUAAUCAGCUAUCACUGUAGAGCAAGAAGAGACAUUGCCAUUGUUCAUAGGACUGCAUUUGCAAAACUAAUAGGCAUAAAGAGGGUAACUAGCAAGACCAUUUCGUAUGAGCAAUCAAAUGCUAUAGAAUUACGUCCAGUAACUCCUGCAUCAAGUCUCAUAACCUGUGGCUGAAUGAGAACAUGUCUUUUUGAGAAAGCUGUAAUCUUGAUUUAUUAGUUUGAUUUUAUUUCUUUCCUUUCUUCUCCUGUGGUUUGAAUUAGUUCCAGCUAUGUAUUUUUGUAUGAAAUGGGAUUCUUAAAUUCCCAAGUGAAGUCAUUCAGGCAGAAAGAUGUACUUGCAGGAGUAUCUUGUACUACUGGGUAGAGAUUUUUACUACAGCUGUCACAACAGCCACAGACACUGUCUAUGUAUUUCACUGUAUGCCUAACUUUUCCAGUAUAUCCCAAAAUUGAAAUUUAAAUGGAAGACACAGUCGUGGAAGAACAUUUUGCCUGAAACAGUCUGCUGUGAUCCCAGUACACCUGAUCUGCAAAUGAUUGUCCCUGCUGAUCUCCCAGUAGGGUAGAUCAUCAUGACUUACCUGCAGUCUGUUGAGACAGCACCAAAUAGAAAUCUUCUUAUGUGCCAUUAGGGACAAAUGUGAGUGCCAGGACUGCUUGACCCCAAGGUUCCUGGCUCUGAAAUUUUCUCCCAUUGGAAAUAUACUCUGACUACUGUAGGACAAGCUUCCUGGCAGCAGGUAUCUCUGAUCAACACCGUAUCAGAAGAAAAUUAUUUGGAAGGGACAUGAAGCAACUUGCUUUGCUAUUUCAGGAGAUCAGCUUUAAAAUGUGAGUUACAUCAGCCCUCCCGAUCUGGACCAAAGUAUGCAGCUGUCAUUUUGAGAGAGGCUUGCUCCAAGGAUAUCACUGCUGCUGGGGAGGAAAAGCCUACCUCAUCUUCAGGGUCAUUCUGCUGUUGAUCAUAAAUCAGCUGAAAAUGACCGCAAGGUAGUUCUGCUUUCAUUUUCAAACGAGUUCUUCAAAUCUGUGGUUCUUUUCACUAACUGGGUUUCUAGAGAAAGCUGUAAAGUGUGUGAAAUCUGCUCUGUCUGCUUUGCUGGUGAGAAGAUGGGUGGACUGAUUAAUGUCAUGGCAAUCUCAUAUGUUAGCCACUUUCCUGCUGAAUGUAACUUUACCUGCUACCCCAAUGUGACUAGACUGCACUUUGCAUUGCUGGUUUAGCUAUCCUCUUUAAUUCUGUACGUGGACAGAAAUAUUAGCAACAAACAAGAACUCUCUCCAACCUACCACAAAUUCCCUUCAGUGUUUUCUAAGUAAAAACAAUUAAAGUUCUUCUUUUUGUGUC
rnacentral:lncRNA from 7 species